CAUUAUGCGUCUUAGAAAUUCGUGUUUAUUUCCAUGCAAAGACACAUACGAUGCGCCCAGAGCGAUGUUUCUACUGCUUUCCCCCCUUUGGUUCCCCUGCAGCUUCCUUCUCCAACGAUGACGAGCAGAAGAGUUUGGCUCUUCUAAAUCAGUAUUCUGAAAUAUUAUCAUGUGAAAGAGACCAGCUGAAGAAAAGAGCUCUGCUUGCUCAAGCCUUGCCGCUGCCAGAUGUAGGUGGGAGUUCCUGUUUAUAAAGCGGGAACUGAGGUUAAACCGUGUGAAAUAGAAAAGAAAGGUUUAGAAGAGGCCAAAAAGAAGAAGGUAGUUGUAGGACGGCUUCAGGUAAUAUCAAUAGCAUCUGUCAUGAAAUUUGACGCAACAUCCUCAGGUUAUUCAUCCAGCUUUGUCUGCAACUCUAUAUAUACACUUAUUUGGAAAGUUUUGUGCAACUAUAAACUCGUUUAAGAUUGAUGGAAUUCUAACUGUACUCGUAUGCCAAUUCAAUUAUUUUUAGGCAAGCUAUAUUCUGUAAUAAUUUAUGUUUUUUGUUGUUUCUCCCAUGUAUAAGGCUCCUCCUGGUUCUGCAAGAAGAACGAGGAGAUCAGAAUCCAGAAGGCAGUUUGCAGAAUACGCAUCAACAAGACCAAGUCCACGUGGUUUUGGUGCAAAGAACUAGGAAACUGAUCAAGUUUUAAGAACAGCAGGACUGUUCAUUAUCUACUUGCAGUGCAAACCGAGUUUCAGAGGUUUCUUAAGAGCUGUGAGAACUCGUCGCAUUUUGAUGGUUAGUACGAAAUUAUAGAGGUGUUCACCCUGCAAAAUUCAAUAGUAUAUACUUUUUAACUUGUUUCUCAAUGGCUACUAAUAUCAGAUAUGAUCCAUAUUGAACGAAAGCAAUUUUCAUAGAAAUCUAAACUGUGUUAUCAAUAUUCUUG